rnacentral:rRNA from 1 species
UCGAGAAUCUUUCACAAUGGGGGCAACCCUGAUGGAGCGACGCCGCGUGGAGGAUAAGGUCUUCGGAUUGUAAACUCCUGUCAUGCGUGAACAAGGUUGCCUGGUUAAUACCUGGGCAAAUUGAUGGUAACGCAAGAGGAAGAGACGGCUAACUCUGUGCCAGCAGCCGCGGUAAUACAGAGGUCUCAAGCGUUGUUCGGAAUCACUGGGCGUAAAGGGUGCGUAGGUGGCGUGGUAAGUCAGAUGUGAAAGCCCGGGGCUCAACCUCGGAACUGCAUCCGAUACUGCUGUGCUAGAGUACUGGAGAGGUGACUAGAAUUCUCGGUGUAGCAGUGAAAUGCGUAGAUAUCGAGAGGAAUACCAAAGGCGUAGGCAGGUCACUGGACAGUUACUGACACUGAGGCACGAAGGCCAGGGGAGCAAACG